UGGGCAGCUGCCCCCGGUGAGCCUGGGAGAGCCGUGGGCGCUGAGGCGAAGUGAAUCCAUGGCUUUCAUCGGAUUCUCAAAACCACCAAAAAGAUGACAAUCUGCUGCUUUGGGGCUUUCGAGAAAAGUAAGCAAGUUAAGGGAGCAUGCUUAGUGCUGUGGGUGCCGCCUCUCUCCCUGCUCUUCUCCUUCCCACUGGCUUUCGCAGCUCCCGAGAGACGCUUUGUAGGGUUUUGGACCUGUCGGCCCCACUCCUGCCCCGUUACCUCACUCCUCCACCCAAGCCCCUGGCCUGCCCAGAUGCGCCUGACUCCACCCUUGGGGGCCCCGUGGCUCCCACCGUAUUGCACGUGGACCACCAGGCUCUCCCAGGAGCUCCUCCCCAGGUACACACACCUGUAUAACUGUACGUGGUAACGCUGGAGAGAAAAGGCAAGGUGUUGAGAGACUUGGAAAGGAAGGGGAGAAUACGAGGACAGGAAACAGGAACAGAGAUUCAGGACACGGUGGGAAUCCUGGGGCAGAAUGACACUUGGCCCCAUAUCCUGCCUGGAACUCUGGGAUGGAGACAUCCACACAGUGCCUCCCACCAACAAGAUGAGGCAACAAGAGGUCAGAAAUGACAGCCUGACGUUUAGAAGAGAUCCUGAGAUGGUGCCCUUGGGUUCACCGUGGCUUAUUUGUAGCAUGAAUGAGUUCCAGCUACAGGCUUCAGAAAGAGACUCCAUAGAAAUGCGGAGAAGAGUCUUGGUUCACAAGUAGAAGGCUGGGAGAGGCAAGAGGAUGGCCCAAGCGUGCAUCCCUCCUUAUUGGAAGCCACAACAGCAACCAGGCACCAGCAUCGCCGGUGUGGGCCUAUUGCCAGCCAGAGUCACUUGUACCAUGGCCCGCAUCCAAAGACCAAGGACAAUGAGCGAGCAGAGGGGACAGAUCCAUCCUUUUUCUGCAAUUAUAUAAGCUCCCUCUGUAUCCAGAUACCUUCUUGGGAAGGAAGAGGAAUGUGAAGAGGAAGGAGAGGAGGGGAAGCAGGAAAAAGAGAGGAAGAGAAAGGGGAAGGUGAAGAGUGAGAGGAGAGGUACAGUACAAGAAGGCUUCUUGGAGUCUUCAAUGCUUGUGGACAUUGUCUAUCACCCAAAGAAGGAUAUAGCGCAAUAUAAAGAGCUCUCCAAACACACUGCUCAAGGGAGUACUUUCUUUACAGAACGGUGAUUAAUAGCUCAUAAGUCUAGUAUUCCCUGAAAGAAUUUGGGAGCUGCGGUUCUAUCAUUUAAAGUGAUGAGCCAUGUAUCUGAGCCUAGGGCACAGAUGGGAAGUGAUGGGGAUCCCUACAGGAUAGGCCGGGAGACUCUAAAGGUCUGCUCCCUUCUUCUCAAAAUUGCUGUGACUGCCCUUGGGCUGGAUUCAUGUCCUGAAUCCCUUUCUUGGUUUUUCUCUCUGAGGGUAGUGCCCCCACUUAAACAGAGCUCUUUCCAAGCUCUCCUGUCUUGUCGUAAACAGGAAUUAUGCUG